CAACUCAUGCCCCGUUCCUGCACUCCCGCGUCUCUGAUCGUCAACCUGUGUGUACCGACCUCCGCCUGUUCUCUGACCGACCCUCUCUCUACGCCCGACGUCCUGACUGCCGCUGCUGCACCAGACUGCCUGCCCGAUCCCCGACCUUGGAACAAUAGACGUUUUUCCUGAAUUACCUCUGCGUCUCCCGACUCCUGCAUUUUGGGUCCUACCUCCGUAACGAUGGGUCGUGACAUGACUAGAUGAAUUGUGAGGUGUUUCGGUCUCCAAGGACUAAGAAUGUCCCCACUGACUCCUGUUCCUUCUUCCAUCAUCAUCCGGAGCGCCAAUCUGUGAUUGGUACACACUCAUUCAUUCUAUCAAAUCAAACUGUAUUCGUCAUAGAAGGCUGCCCUGAUUUUGGUUGUCGUCUCCCUUCUUGAAGCCACUCAUGGCAUUUGUGAAGCUGUAGCAUUACAUCUUCCAAAUAAGAAGUUAUACUGUGUUAGA